UGGUGGAGCGAUUUGUCUGGUUGAUUCCGAUAACGAACGAGACUCUGGCCUAUUAAAUAGUUCGCCGAUUCCGAUCUGUCGGCGUUAACUUCUUAGAGGGACAAGUGGCUUUUAGCCACGCGAGAUUGAGCAAUAACA
rnacentral:rRNA from 1 species